rnacentral:lncRNA from 1 species
AGAGACCUGACGUUUAUCAUAUGGCCCAUGGCUCUGUGCUAUAGAGGGGUCCGAGCCCUUCCCCAACCCCUAGGAUUGAAACACUAUUGCAGUAUCACAACCAUCCGCAAAGAUUGGGUAGACAGUGGGCCAAUGGUGCAAUCCUGACCAAGGAAACAUCAGAGUGUCUGCUCAGAGACCCCUAAAAAGACUUCUAACAGCUUCAGGAAGUGGUUGCUGGAACAUCAUCCCCGGCCCACCUGACCCAUCUGAGAACCAUGGGGAAGGGGCGGUGAGGAGGGCAGCAUCCUCCUGGGACAUACAGCGAUGGCCCCCACACCUGGAAGGACUCAAGCUCUGAAUCCAGCACCUUCAGGAAGCAAGUGAUGGCAUCCCAGAGGCCCUAUGCUUGAGACAGACUGACGAAAACAGGUGGAUCUAGGUAAAAUCAGUCUCUGCUACCCUCCUCAUCUAAACCCUCAGUGCAGGGCCACCUUGGAAGCCAUGUGUUAACACUGAGUGAUCCUCCUCAGCCAAGUCCCUAAUGCAUGGAAAAGAACCUCCUGACCCAGUCCCCAAAGGCUGGACUUUUCCUUUGCAAGAAAUAAGGAGGGUAAAGUUCACCAUAAAUAACAAAGUCAUGGAGUCAAGCUGUCACAAUUGGCCACCGUUCCUAAGGCAUUUGAAUUGUAUGCAUUGACAGGAAAAAGCAGGAAGGAGUGAAGACAGAACAAGGGGAGAAUGUAACCUGAGUUGGAAGGUGUAAUAUUUAAAUGUAUUUGCAAACCUGUUUUGGGCCAAAAGGGGUAGGAGGAAGAGAAGACGCAUUUGCUGAGAUCUAUUAUAUGCCAAUUGGAGGACUACAGAUUUCACAAUUCACAUCUGUUGUCUUAUUUCUUUCUCAUAAUCCCAAAGAUAAUUCUAAAGUUACACAUUAUCAUCUCCAUUUACAAUUAAGAACUGAUGCUCCAAGAAGAAAGAUCUCACAGUGUGUAGGCAACAGACCUAAGAUUCAAACCUAUAUUGGUGGGUGUUAAUGUCCUUGUUCUUUCUGAUGUAAGCAUGUAACAUUUCCACAUCUCUGAUUCCAUGCUCAAGGUGGGCCAAGCCAUGCUGCUUGUAAGACAGGGUGCCUGUGAUGACACAAGUCAUUAAUGCAAGUGUUAAGUGCCAUGCAAGCACAGAAGCCACUUAAAAUGGGUUUUCGGAAAUGAAAGCUGGGCUCAAACAGAGCCCACUUUCAAGGGGGCCUGGUUUAAGUGGCCAAACUCUCAAGAAGAAAGGCAUUAAAGGAAGAGCCUUUCUGCUGGGCUGGCAAAACUUUAGGUUCAUGAAUUCAGGAGGAGACUGAGGAGGAGAAAACAGGGUUUUAGAAUGCAGCCUCAGGAGCUGCCUGCACCUCUCAGGCCAGGAGGUUGGCUUUUCCAAUUGUGCGAUUAAGCUAUUCUACCCAGCCCCACCUCUCAUUUUCAAUUAAUCUGCACUAAUGAAUUCAACAACCAAAAUGCAUUUGCUAAUUGAGGUGCUUGCUGGCCAGGUCAUCCGCGCUCCCUUGUCUAACAGCUGGUACUCCCCACUGUGCCACGGUAAAGUAGGGUAGUAGAGGCCUCUGCUCCCCUCAUCCCCUGCUGCCCCUGAGGGGAAUACCCAGUGGGCAAGAAAAGGCCCAGCCUGGGAGAGAAUGCUCAUAAUAUAUUACUAAGUCACAGACAGAAAUUGCUCCUCCGGGCAGUCUUUCACUUUUUGUUUCUAAGUGAAAGCUCAUGACCAUCCCAGCCAUAUUAUCUCCCUGGCCCUUGGAAGCUGUUAUGUAAUGGAAAGGGCAUUAAACUCAGGCCAGGAAAUUCUUGAUACAGAACCCAGACUGUUGUUGAUAACUGGGUUGACUUUGGAAAGUGACUGCCUCCCUCCCUCUCGGUUUGCUCAUCUGGAAAAUGAAACUAAUGGAAC